rnacentral:rRNA from 1 species
AGUGGGGAAUAUUGCGCAAUGGACGAAAGUCUGACGCAGCGACGCCGCGUGUGGGAUGAAGCCUUUCGGGGCGUAAACCACUGUUGCCCGGGACGAACAUCCCCUUUCGAGGGGACUGACGGUACCGGGUGAGGAAGCACCGGCUAACUCUGUGCCAGCAGCCGCGGUAAUACAGAGGGUGCGAGCGUUGUCCGGAAUCACUGGGCGUAAAGGGCGCGUAGGUGGCUUGGUAAGCGUGUGGUGAAAGUCCGGGGCUCAACCCCGGAUCUGCCGUGCGAACUGCCGAGCUUGAGCGAUGUAGAGGCAGGUGGAAUUUCGGGUGUAGCGGUGGAAUGCGUAGAUAUCCGAAAGAACACCAGUGGCGAAGGCGGCCUGCUGGGCAUCCGCUGACACUGAGGCGCGACAGCGUGGGGAGCAAA